rnacentral:ribozyme from 1 species
AAUGCGUAAAAUAAUGUGUAUUUGUAUGUGUGAAAAGGGAGAAAAGAGAGAAGAACAUGACGAGAUUGGAUUGAUAUUCGCACAUCUCAUUUCGCGCCUACUCUCUUCUCCUCCUCUACUUUCUCCGCUUCUCUCCCUCUUCCCUUUUUUUAAUUUUUCUUUCUUUCUUAUUU